CCUACGGGAGACAGCAGUGAGGAAUAUUGGUCAAUGGCCGGAAGGCUGAACCAGCCAUGCCGCGUGAAGGUCAGUGCCCUAUGGGCGUUAAACUUCUUUUGUGCGGGAGCAAUAAUGGUCACGUGUGGCCAGACGAGAGUACCGUACGAAUAAGCAUCGGCUAACUCCGUGCCAGCAGCCGCGGUAAUACGGGGGAUGCAAGCGUUAUCCGGAUUUAUUGGGUUUAAAGGGUGCGUAGGCUGUGAGGUAAGUCAGCGGUGAAAUGCCCCCGCUCAACGGGGUGAAGUGCCAUUGAUACUGCCUGGCUGGAAUGCGGAUGCCGUGGGAGGAAUGUGUGGUGUAGCGGUGAAAUGCAUAGAUAUCACACAGAACACCGAUUGCGAAGGCAUCUCACGAAUCCGCGAUUGACGCUGAUGCACGAAAGCGUGGGUAUCAAACAGGAUUAGAUACCCGAGUAGUC
rnacentral:rRNA from 1 species